rnacentral:rRNA from 1 species
GAUGAACGCUGGCGGCGUGCCUAAUACAUGCAAGUCGAGCGAACAGACGAGGAGCUUGCUCCUCUGACGUUAGCGGCGGACGGGUGAGUAACACGUGGAUAACCUACCUAUAAGACUGGGAUAACUUCGGGACACCGGAGCUAAUACCGGAUAAUCUAUUGAACCGCAUGGUUCAAUAGUGAAAGUUGGUUUUGCUGUCACUUAUAGAUGGAUCCGCGCCGCAUUAGCUAGUUGGUAAGGUAACGGCUUACCAAGGCAACGAGGCGUAGCCGACCUGAGAGGCGGGUCGGCCACACUGGAGCUGGAACACGGACCAUACGCCUACGGGAGGCAGCAGUAGGGAAUCGGCCGCAAUGGGCGAGAGCCUGGCGGAGCAACGCCGCGUGAGUGAUGAAGGUCUUCGGAUCGUAAAACUCUGUUAUUAGGGAAAAACAAAUGUGUAAGUAACUAUGCACGUCUUGACGGUACCGGAUCAGAAAGCCACGGCUAACUACGUG